UACGUAGGGUGCAAGCGUUGUCCGGAAUUAUUGGGCGUAAAGAGCUCGUAGGCGGUUUGUCGCGUCUGCUGUGAAAACCCGAGGCUCAACCCCGGGUCUGCAGUGGAUACGGGCAGGCUAGAGGUAGGUAGGGGAGAAUGGAAUUCCCGGUGUAGCGGUGAAAUGCGCAGAUAUCGGGAGGAACACCGGUGGCGAAGGCGGUUCUCUGGGCCUUACCUGACGCUGAGGAGCGAAAGCGUGGGGAGCGAACAGG
rnacentral:rRNA from 1 species